rnacentral:tRNA from 1 species
GCGGGUGUGAUGGAAUUGGUAGACAUGCAGGAUUUAGGUUCCUGUGCCGCAAGGCGUGUGGGUUCGAGUCCCCUCACCCGUA